UACGUAGGUGGCAAGCGUUGUCCGGAUUUACUGGGCGUAAAGGGCGUGCAGGCGGUUUGUUAAGUCUAGGGUGAAAGCCCCCGGCUCAACUGGGGAGGGUCACGCGAUACUGGUCGACUCGAAGGCAGGAGAGGGUAGUGGAAUUCCCGGUGUAGUGGUGAAAUGCGUAGAUAUCGGGAGGAACACCAGUGGCGAAGGCGACUACCUGGCCUGUUUCUUGACGCUGAGGCGCGAAAGCUAGGGGAGCAAACGGG
rnacentral:rRNA from 1 species